CCACCUCCUGGGUUCAAGUGAUUCUUCUGCCUCAGCCUCCCGAGCAGCUGGGACUACAUGCGCCCACCACCAUGCUCGGCUUUUUUGUAUUUUUAAUAGAGAUGGUGUUUCACCAUGUUGGCCAGGCUGGUCUCAAACUCCUGAUCUCAGGUGAUCUGCCCAUCUUGGCCCCCCAAAGUGCUGGGAUUACAGGCAUGAGCCACUGCACCCGGCCAAGGAUGGUAAUAUUAUAUGGUACUAUAUAUAUAUGAGACUUUAAUAUAGAUAUAUACUAUACUUAUACUAUAUAUAUGAGACUUGAAUAAUAUAAAUUUCAACACGUGCUGUCUUUUACAUCAGAUUCUCGAAGCGCAGGUCAUAAUGCAGCUUAGGAGGACGCAGGAAGUGGUUCCACUUAAACUUUUGGGGUGCAGUUUUAGGGAGUUAUAUGUCCCUGACACACUCUUAAUUUCAAUCUGGAUGCAGCUGCUCUUUGAAGUCACACUGAGUCCCUAAUGUGUACUUGGGGCCUCAGACUAAUGUGUUAUAGUGUUGAAGUUAUUAAUAAAGCCCCUUUGGAAAGUAAACAACUCCCAGUAAUGGGCAGUUAGAUAUACGACAAAAUGACAGAUGAUGGCAAAGCUAAUGUCUGUGUGGGUGACACACAUCUACCGAGCCCACCACAGAUAUUCACAGGGCCAGGGG
rnacentral:lncRNA from 1 species